GAUGAAGAACGCAGCGAAAUGCGAUACGUAAUGUGAAUUGCAGAAUUCAGUGAAUCAUCGAAUCUUUGAACGCAUAUUGCGCUCUCUGGUAUUCCGGAGAGCAUGCUUGUUUGAGUAUCAGUAAACACCUCAACUCCCCUUUCUUUUUUUGAAAUGGGAGCUGGACUUGAGUGAUCCCAACGCUUUUCUCACCGAAAAGUGGCGGGUUACUUGAAAUGCAGGUGCAGCUGGACUUUUCUCUGAGCUAAAAGCAUAUCUAUUUAGUCUGCCUAAAAAACAGAUUAUUACCUUUGCUGCAGCUAACAUAAAGGAGAUUAGUUCUUGUGCUGACUGAUGCAGGAUUCACAAAGACAGCUUCGGCUGGCCUUUGUAAACUCGAUCUCAAAUCAAGUAAGACUACCCGCUGAACUUAAGCAUAUCAAUAAGCGGAGGA
rnacentral:misc_RNA from 1 species